rnacentral:lncRNA from 1 species
AAAUAUUUUCUUGCUUUCUCUUUUUCUUGCGGGGUUUUAGUUGCACUCCAAAUUUAUUUAAUUCCCUGCUUGACGCUGACUUAAAUAGGUUUUGGUGUCAAUUACAUUCCAUUUCCUAGAAGAAUUUAAAUUCCAAUUAAAAAAAAAAAAGGAAUCUACCUCAAAUUGGGACACAAACUCCAUUGUAGCUUUGGAUUCCUACACCUUCUGCCCUUUCCUGCAAGCAGCCCAACAUGUGUAGGGGCAUUUGUGGAGCAAAAAAUAUUCCCAAAAAUCAUGGAGUUGACACGUGGAUUAUUCCCCAAGAAAAACAAGACUGCCCCUAUUAAAUGAGUUAGGAGCAGUCUCAUUCACCACUCGCAACUGAGGUAGAGCAGGCAGAGAUCAACGACUGCUCAAGACACCCCUGCCCGUAGGAAAAGUCAAAGGUAUUUAUGAUAGGAUAAUUCCUUAUUCUUAUCAUAAAUACAUUCCUAAUCAGAGAAUACCUCUUUCAAGUAAGUAAUCCUAAUCCCAUUUAUUUAGGAUAUUUACCAAAUUACUCCAAGAUAUUUGUUUACACAAAUAUCUUGGAAUAUUAUCACCCAAAAUACCACCUAGGGCCGGCCACCCCUAAACCCUAGAGG